CUGCCGUGCAAAGGGGAGUAACUUCAUUGCCGGUUAAUCGUCAUUACGGUGCGCAAGCACCCGGUUACCGGGCAACCUGAUGUCAGGGCGCACUAAGGUGCACCUUCAUCAAUGUUGUAAGUGAGACCUUGCCGGAAGG
rnacentral:misc_RNA from 1 species